GACGUAGGGCGCGAGCGUUGUCCGGAUUUAUUGGGCGUAAAGAGCUCGUAGGCGGUUUGUUGCGUCGGCUGUGAAAACCCGAGGCUCAACCUCGGGCCUGCAGUGGGUACGGGCAGACUGGAGUGCGGUAGGGGAGAAUGGAAUUCCUGGUGUAGCGGUGGAAUGCGCAGAUAUCAGGAGGAACACCGAUGGCGAAGGCAGUUCUCUGGGCCGUAACUGACGCUGAGGAGCGAAAGCGUGGGGAGCGAACAGG
rnacentral:rRNA from 1 species